GACGAACGCUGGCGGCGUGCUUAACACAUGCAAGUCGAACGAAGAGCGAUGGAAGCUUGCUUCUAUCAAUCUUAGUGGCGAACGGGUGAGUAACGCGUAAUCAACCUGCCCUUCAGAGGGGGACAACAGUUGGAAACGACUGCUAAUACCGCAUACGAUCUAAUCUCGGCAUCGAGGAUAGAUGAAAGGUGGCCUCUACAUGUAAGCUAUCACUGAAGGUGGGGAUUGCGUCUGAUUGUCUAGUUGGCGGGGUAACGGCCCACCAAGGCGAUGAUCAGUAGCCGGUCUGAGAGGAUGAACGGCCACAUUGGGACUGAGACACGGCCCAGACUCCUACGGGAGGCAGCAGUGGGGAAUCUUCCGAAAUGGACGAAAGUCUGACGGAGCAACGCCGCGUGAGUGAUGACGGCCUUCGGGUUGUAAAGCUCUGUUAAUCGGGACGAAGGGCCUUCUUGCGAAUAGUGAGAAGGAUUGACGGUACCGGAAUAGAAAGCCACGGCUAACUACGUG
rnacentral:rRNA from 1 species